GCACUGCUGCUUCCUGUUCUCCUCCACUCAUUUCAUCCUAUCCCUCUCUGCUGUUGCAGCAGGUGUCUAAAACCAAACCAUUACAUGUGAAGCACUUUAUAAAGGAGAUACAGGGAGAAACAGUGAGUUCUUCCCAUCUGGUGAGUGUUCUCUCGUCACUCAGCUAAGUUAGGAAAUAUAAUUACAGUGGAGAGGGAUUUAGUGUAAGUGUUUUGACAUCUGGCAUGCUGGAGGUCACCGGCUUAGGCAAUCUUCUAAAUAAUUGUAGGUUAGUUAUCAUUACUGUAUGCUCAGAGUGCGGCUUUAUGACAUAUUGAAUGGGAUUUAAUUUGUGGUUACAGUUAAGCAGUCGCAGAACGUCUCAUUUUAGGCAUCAGAGCGAAACCCAGAUCCCCCAGUCGGAGGAAAACAGAAACUUUAACGUACCUGAUAAGACCAGUUCUUCCACUAUCCAUCCUCAUCAAUCUAACUCCAUAACAUUUCACCCCAUCCCAGAAUGCACUGCUCCACUCCAUCUUUCCUUUACAUUCUGCUCUGCUUCCUCUUUAAGGUAUAGCAGUGGUUUUAACUUUAACACUCUUCCUGUAUAUGGCCUUAGUUCUAAUGCCUUUCAGAGUCAUUUCUUGUUAACAUACAGUAUCACUAUCACUCUGCUCAUGUCUCUUUUAAAGCAGUAAAUUAAAGCCAGAAAUACUUUAUGGCAUAAACAUGCAAGAAGAAGCAAAGUGUAACUCAGAAAUGG